rnacentral:tRNA from 1 species
GCGCCCGUAGUGAAAUGGAUAUCACGGGAGCCUCCGAAGCUCUAAGUGCAGGUUCGAUUCCUGCCGGGCGCA